AUGGCUUCGUACAAUCCACAGCCCACUCACUCACUCGUCGCUUCCAGCAUCCCAAGCCCAAACCCUCGAUCCCCUUUCUCCACCACGGCCGCCAUGGCGCCGCCGCAGCCGCCGCUGGCCUCCAUCCCCAUCCCCGACGACCUCCUGGAGGAGAUCUUCCUCCGCCUGCCCACCCCGGACGCGCUCGCCCGCGCCUCCGCCGCCUGCACCUCCUUCCGUCGCGUCAUCAAAGGCCGCGCCUUCCGCCGCCGCUUCCGCGGGCUGCACCGGCCUCCGCUCCUCGGCUUCAUGGACGCGGCCGGAUUCCACCACGCCCAGGCGCCGCACCCCUCCGCCCCGCUCGCCGGCGCCCUCGCCCCCCGCGCCGCCGAUUUCUCCUUCGUCCCGGCCGUCGUUUCUUCUUGCUCCUACUACGUCCCGCCGGGCGUCCAAGACGACGGGGAAGGCCCCCGCUGGCGCCCCCGCGACGUCCGCGGCGGCCGCGUCCUCCUCGAUUGGAUCUCCCUCCACCCCCGCACCGUGCGCAUUUGUUGCUACCACGAAGACGACGCCGAAGUAAGCAUCCUCAUGGACGUUAAUGAGCUCACCCCGCGUGACCGCCCCACGUGGACCGAACGGGAGCGGUGCAACGCCGCCGACUUCCACCUCGCCGUCUGCGACCCCCUGUCCAGCAGAUACGUGCUGCUUCCAACCAUACCUGAAGACCUCGCCGCCCAGCCGCAAGAUUCUCUUUGGGAGUUCGAGCCUGUACUUGCUUCAAACACCAGCGAGAAUGGGGAGGAGGAACCCUUCAAGGUGAUAUGCAUAGCAAAAUACCAGACCAAGCUCGUCCUCUUUGUCUUCCCGUCCACAACUAUGCAAUGGUGUAUGGUGGAGUCUCCUGUCCUCCCUUCUUUGGAUCAGAUGUCCUGUUUUGACUGUGUGCGCGGUCGCUUCUACUGGACAGAACCUUAUACUUGGAGCGACCAUUUGAUGGUGCUGGACACGUGCACCAUGAGGUUUUCCACUGUCGAUCUUCUCACCGGUUACCAUCAGGAGCUCAGAGAUCUGCACCACCAGAACUCUUAUCGUGGACGUCCGAAUUCAGUUGUUACGGGUAGGGAAGGAACCCUUGAGAUGUUUUCUCUUGUCCGUGAGAAUGGCUACUUUGCUCUCUACCAUACCUCUCUACAGAAUAAUUCCCAAGAAUGGAAGCUCGAGAAGGUCAUAAGCCUGCCAGGGCAGUAUCAUGACUAUUCCAUUUCCACAGUGGGUGCAGCUGAGGGAUUCUUGUUCUUCCAAGGCGCUCCAAAAGGUAUUCGUAUUGAGAAUGUGGAUUGUUACUCAAUGGAGGUCAAGACUUAUGAAAUUACCAAAGUCUGUACAAGGAUGGAGCAGUUCCUCAAUCGCAAACGUGCUCUCCCCUGCUUUAGCUUCCCGCCGCUGUUAUUGGAACCAACUAUCUGA
rnacentral:rRNA from 1 species